UAGUCAUAUGCUUGUCUCAAAGACUAAGCCAUGCAUGUGCAAGUGCAUACCGCUUGACGGUAAAACCGCGAACGGCUCAUUAGAACAGUUAUUGUUCGCAAGAAAUGAUAUCCACUUGGAUAACUGUGGAAAUGCUAGAGCUAAUACACGCCACGAUGCUUUGGACUUUGCUGGUGCCAGAGCGCGUUUAUUGGUACGAUCUGUCAGCGUUUGACUGGCUGCUUUGCGCAGUCGGUUCGCUGUUCAGUUGUUGAAACGGAGUAACUAUGCUGAUCGCACGGUCCUAGUACCGGCGACGAAUCUUUGAAAUGACUUGCUCAUCAACUGUCGAUGGUAGGUUACGUGCCUACCAUGGUGACAACGGUUAACGGAGAAUCAGGGUUCGAUUCCGGAGAAGGAGCCUGAGAGACGGCUACUACAUCCAAGGAAGGCAGCAGGCGCGCAAAUUACCCACUCCCAGAACGGGGAGGUAGUGACGAUAAAUAACGGAACGUAUCUCGAUGAGACGCGUUACCGGAACGAUUGAGCCGUAUACGAGCUCGACUAAAGCUAUUGGAGGGCAAGUCUGGUGCCAGCAGCCGCGGUAAUUCCAGCUCCAAUAGCGUAUAUUAAAGCUGCUGCGGUUGAACCGCUCGUAGUUGGAUUGCGAUUUUCGGCCACGGUCCUCUAAGUCAAGAGGAUUGGCUCUGCCGCCGUUGGUCAUGAUCGGUAUUGUCAUGGUUGUCCUUGAUGCUCUUUGCCGAGUGUCAUGGGUGACGUGGACGUUUACUUUGAGAAAAUAAGAGCGCUCAAAGCAGGCUGCUCAUAGCUUGAACGGAAUUUCAUGGGAUAGUGAAAGAUGAUCUCGCUGGUAGUGUAAAAGCCACGAGGUAAUGAUUAAAAGAGACAGACGGUGGCAUUCGUACUGCUGCGUUAGAGGUGAAAUUCUUGGAUCGUAGCAAGACGAACAAUUGCGAAAGCAUUUGCCAAGAAUGUUUUCAUUAAUCAAGAACGAAAGUUGGAGGAUCGAAGGCGAUCAGAUACCGCCCUAGUUGCGACUUUAAACGAUGCCAACUAGCGAUUCGGCGAUGUCUUUCUAAUGACUCGCUGAGCAGCUCCCGGGAAACCAAAGUCUUUCGGUUCCGGGGGAAGUAUGGUUGCAAAGCUGAAACUUAAAGGAAUUGACGGAAGGGCACCACCAGGAGUGGAGCAUGCGGCUUAAUUUGACUCAACACGGGAAAGCUCACCCGUCCCGAACACUGUCAGGAUUGACAGAUUGAGAGCUCUUUCUUGAUUCAGUGGGUAGUGGUGCAUGGCCGUUCUUAGUUGGUGGAGCGAUUUGUCUGGCCAAUCCCGAUAACGAACGAGACUCUGGCCUACUAAAUAGUGACGGCUCAAUUUGCUUUGCCGAGCACUUCUUAGAGGGACAAGCGGCGGUACAAAGCCGCACGAGAAAGAGCAAUAACAGGUCUGUGAUGCCCUUAGAUGGACGGGGCUGCACGCGUGCUACACUGACGGCACCAGCGUGCGUUCAAGCCUGUCUUGAAGAGGUCAGGUAAUCGAAUGAAAUGUCCGUCGUGACUGGGACAGGGAAUUGCAAUUAUUUCCCUCGAACGAGGAAUUCCCAGUAAGCGCGAGUCAUCAGCUUGCGUUGACUACGUCCCUGCCCUUUGUACACCACCCCCGUCGCUACUACCGAUUGGAUGAUUUAGUGAGGCUUCUGGACCGAUGCUGCUUGCUUGGCCCGUUUUCUGACCGGGCUGCAGCGUUGGAAAAUUGGCCGAACCAAUUCAUCUAGAGGAAGUAAAAGUCGUAACAAGGUUUCCGUAG
rnacentral:rRNA from 1 species